GUCCACAUGGUGUAAUGGUAACACGCUUCGAUCGAGUAAAGGAGAAACCUCAUCUGAUUGAGGUGAUGUGGGUUCGAAUCCCACUGCGGACU